rnacentral:rRNA from 1 species
AACGAACGCUGGCGGCAGGCCUAACACAUGCAAGUCGAACGCUCGUAGCAAUACGAGAGUGGCAGACGGGUGAGUAACACGUGGGAACCUUCCCUAUGGUUCGGAAUAGCUCAGGGAAACUUGGGGUAAUACCGGAUAAGCCCUUCGGGGAAAGAUUUAUCGCCAUUGGAUGGGCCCGCGUCGGAUUAGCUAGUUGGUGAGGUAACGGCUCACCAAGGCAACGAUCCGUAGCUGGCUGAGAGGAUGAUCAGCCACACUGGGACUGGGACACGGCCCAGACUCCUACGGGAGGCAGCAGUGGGGAAUAUUGGACAAUGGGCGCAAGCCUGAUCCAGCGACGCCGCGUGUGGGAUGACGGUCUUCGGAUUGUAACCACUGUCGGGAGGGACGAAUACGCCGCAAGGCGGGUGA